UAUUUUGUUUCAUAUUUCUCUCCAGUACAGGAACGGAAGGGAGGAGGAAGGGUGCCCCUGAAAGAAAUUCCCAGAUGUGCGACACAUUUUUAGGAUGCAUUAGGAUCUUAUCUUGUAUGGAAGAUAAAACAUGUGGGAGCUAGCUGCAGUAGUUCUGAUGAUUCAGCAUGAACAUGUGAGAUGGCCAACUGAUUCCUCUGAUGCAACUUUGCAAACUAUCCUGACAUGAACUGGAAGCAUGAACACGAGGAUCAGGAUUUACAGGGUGUCCCACAAAACAUGGCAGUAGUAAAAAUAUUUGAAGGUCGUGUUUUAUAUUUGAAAUGAUUUACGACAUUUAUUCAUACGCCAUAUUUUGAAAGUACAAUUUUAUCGAGUUAAUAGUCACAAAAUACCCCUGGUCUUGGCAUUUCCAAAAUGUGGUCUGCCUUUUUUGUGCUCUCAAUAAUAUGAUUAACUUUGUUCAAAUUCAGACAUUUUUGGUCUGUUUAUCAAAAUUAAAAUCUGAACGAAAUUCUCAAUAUCUCCGGUAAUAUACAGCACUUAAAAAAGGCAGACCACAUUUUGGAGAUCUCAGGACCGGGAGAAGCUUCGUGCUUAUUGUUUCAAAAAUCAUACAUGUGAAGGAAGGUUGGCGAAUGAAUGUGUCCAAUGAAUCAAUAAAUUAAAGACGACUUUCAUAUCGUCUUGCUACUGUCAUAUGUUUCAUGGGACACCAGGAACAAUGCAGUUUCUAGGAGUUGGAUCACGCUAGUUUCAAAAGUUUUAAACAAUAAAACAAUAAUAAAAAUGAACUUUUAUGUUGUAUUGCCAUUGGAAAGAUCUUCAAUUUUUGUUGGUUGAUCUCAAUGAGGGUGUAAUUAUUUCCUAAAUUCAAAUAAAAUCAUUUUUAUUCUGAA